AUUGAACGCUGGCGGCAGGCCUAACACAUGCAAGUCGAACGGUAGCAGGAAGCAGCUUGCUGCUUCGCUGACGAGUGGCGGACGGGUGAGUAAUGUCUGGGAAACUGCCCGAUGGAGGGGGAUAACUACUGGAAACGGUAGCUAAUACCGCAUAACGUCGCAAGACCAAAGAGGGGGACCUUCGUGCCUCCUGCCAUCGGAUGUGCCCAGAUGGGAUUAGCUUGUUGGUGAGGUAACGGCUCACCAAGGCGACGAUCCCUAGCUGGUCUGAGAGGAGGACCAGCCACACUGGAACUGAGACACGGUCCAGACUCCUACGGGAGGCAGCAGUGGGGAAUAUUGCACAAUGGGCGCAAGCCUGAUGCAGCCAUGCCGCGUGUAUGAAGAAGGCCUUCGGGUUGUAAAGUACUUUCAGCGGGGAGGAAGGGGUUAAGGUUAAUAACCUUAGUCAUUGACGUUACCCGCAGAAGAAGCACCGGCUAACUCCGUGCCAGCCGCCGCCGUAACAC
rnacentral:rRNA from 1 species